CCUACGGGUGGCAGCAGUGGGGAAUAUUGCGCAAUGGGCGAAAGCCUGACGCAGCGACGCCGCGUGAGGGAUGAAGGUCUUCGGAUCGUAAACCUCUGUCAGCAGGGAAGAACGGUCACUGUGCUAAUCAGCAGUGAAUUGACGGUACCUGCAAAGGAAGCACCGGCUCACUCCGUGCCAGCCGCCGCGGUAAUACGGAGGGUGCGAGCGUUAAUCGGAAUUACUGGGCGUAAAGCGCUCGUAGGCGGUAUGUCAAGUCAAGGGUGAAAUCCCCGCGCUCAACGUGGGAACUGCCUUUGAAACUGGCAAACUGGAGUGUGUGAGAGGAUAGUGGAAUUCCAGGUGUAGGAGUGAAAUCCGUAGAUAUCUGGAGGAACAUCAGUGGCGAAGGCGACUAUCUGGCACAUAACUGACGCUGAGGAGCGAAAGAGUGGGUAGCGAACAGGAUUAGAUACCCCAGUAGUC
rnacentral:rRNA from 1 species